CACCUGGCAGAAGAAGAUAGAAUGAGCCUGGGAACUCGGGGUUGAAAGUAUAAACAAUUAUAAUUGGUAUAGUGUGUGGGAAUAGUAGAAAUGUGAUACAAGGGGUGGGGUUUGAUGAUGAUAUUUGCGUGUGGUGUUACGUUGCAUCAGAGGUGAUAAAAAUGAUUGUAUGUAAACAUUAGGUCAUUCUCGACUUUUCCCAAAGUCAUGUAUUCUUCAAUAAAGAUUGGAUCUGAGAGCAGCUAUCUUUGAUCUGCGUUCAGACUGGUCCUUUGAAGUGAGCGUGACAAUUAAGUCGAGAAUCCCGUUCUCACCCUCCUGCGGAUUCGCAGUGAAGUGAUAAUGAAUGAAGAAGGAGAUCAAAGCCCAAAUGGAGCAGGGAGGCCUUUGCCAGGGGCCCGGCCGUUGGGGGAAGAGACGCUGCAAGCCAUAGCUUCCUCUACGGGGUACCCCAGGCCGAACGGCGUGACCCAGAGGAUUCCCAGAGGAGGAAGAGGCGUUUCUGCGGCUGCAGAAACCAGUUGGGGAUCUGGAGGAAGCAUGCCGGAGACCGUGGCCCUGCGGUUAUCCAUCCUGGAAACUAAUUUAUCCAGGCUGUCGGAAACCGUGGGGAGGUUGGUGCCACUAUUGGAAGAGAAUCUCCAAAAGGAGCCCACCCGAUAUGGUGCCGAGAGAGAGCCAAGUAAAGAAGGAGAUUGGAGCCAGAGGGGCCAGCGCGCCUCAACGCAGAGCCCCGUGGAGGCGAGGGGUGAGGGGGAUGAGGAAUACUGUCAGGAACUGGAGUUCCGAGACAGAAUAGCGCGCGAAGUGGAGCGCCAGCAAGCUCUGGGAACUCUGAGGCCGCCAACUCCAACAGAACUUCCAACCCCCCGAAUGGGCGUCGGGGUGGAAAGACCACUGGGGCCAGGGAUCGGGUCCAGUGGAUUAGCGGACGAAGGCGGAGAGGAGCCGGAGAUUCAGGAAGAGGAGGAGGAUGUGCCGUACGACGAGGGAAGGCGAGGUGCGGCAGCUACAGCGAGGCCCGCAUUCGGAUGGGUGGAAGGGCCAACAGCAGCGGCAGAAUUUCGGGAGCCGCGCGCAGAACGGCCGCCGGAGUGGGGGUGUUCAAAGGGGCCGUCCAAGGAAACCCGAUGCAACCCUUC
rnacentral:lncRNA from 1 species